AAAAAAAAAAAAAGUAAAAUCUGAAGUGCAGAAUAUCAGCGGAGGCCUGUGUGAAACCCUAGCUCCGCUCUGCUUCCCCCACCUUCGCCCAAUCUUUCAUUUGAUGUGCAAUAUUUCCGACUUCGAGGUGCCAUAUUUCCGAUUUCGAGCUCCUGUUCGUGGGGAUUCCGAUUCAUUUCAUCAACGCCAAGAGGGGGGUUUUGAACAUGAGCUUGGUUUUGAGGAAGAGCGCUCAAUCUUUGGAUUUCGAAAGAGAGUAAUAUCUCUUGAAGGCUUUUGGCAGAUACACAGGCAACAAGAACCCAAACAGAUUGAAGCUCCAAAGCGCCAUGUUGAUUACAGCAAGUG